UAUAUAUAUUUUACAGAGUUCAAGUAAAAGAUCAUGUCUUGCAAAUAUUGAAAUCAAUGAACUGAAAAAAAAAACCCGCCUCACUGACAUCAGUUAUGUGGCAUGUUACUUGUUGACUUCAACCACUUGACAUGUUCCUUGAAUAAAGAAAUGAUUUCUUAUAGGAAAAUAAGACCCCAAGAUUUGCCAUGGUAGGGGCUUGUGUGUUAAAACAUGUUGAUCAAAAUAUUUUUCCUAUCUUAUAUUGUAAUGAGAUCUUUUUUAGAAAAAGAUGUAGCAAUGAGUUCACAUUGGAUAAAUUAAACAAUAUCAAACUGGUGAACGGAAAUUCAUGGAGAGACUAUCGAUUUGACUCAGUUUUGGUGAUAAAUUAGCAAUGUCCACAAUCUCUACAAACCUUGUGAUCAACCUGCAUCAGGAAAAGAGUGCUAACUCAAUUUAUCAGAGUGCUAACUUUCCCGUUAUUUUUUCUUAUUGCCAGGAUGGAAGAAUUAAUUACCAGGAGUUUGUUGCCAUGAUGAGGAACAACAGCCCUGAGAUUGUUCCAAAUCGGAGGCGCAUGUUCUAACUGUCAUGGACAAUCACAUUGAAUACUUUC
rnacentral:lncRNA from 1 species